rnacentral:tRNA from 1 species
GAUGAAAUGGCCGAGAUUAGGCAAUAAAUUGUAAAUUUAUGUACGAAAAUUUCUUUCUUUCAUC